CAGGAAUUGGAGCCUGGCGUGGUGACAUUGUCAGCCGUGUCACUGCCUGGUAGGAGGGGGCCUGGGGAGGGGGCUGCAUGCCUGAAAUAAGCGGCCCAGAUGGUGCUUUGGGUUUUGCUGUCUCCUCCAGGUGGGAGAGAGGACCUGCCAUCCGCACACUGGCAGAGGGCUCUGGGCAGCUGCCGACAUUGGAAGAUGGUUCAGUUGAGCAGUUGUCAAGUUGCUGAGCCCUGACUGAGUAUUCCUCAUUCGCUGGCCCAGAAACAGCUUCUCUGGGUUUUUCUGCCUCUUUACCCCAUCUUCCCUGGUCCCAGCAUUUUUCAGGAUUCAGGGUGUGGCCCAGGCUUUCCUGUCCCUAAGCAAGACAUGGAUGUCCACCUCUGCUGGAGAAUGUCAUGGAGGAGAGAGACUCGAGAUUUUACUGCUCUGUAGGAGAUGAAUGGUAGAUCCAAAGAAAGAGCAGCUGAGCCCCUCACUCUCCAGAUGGAAAGAGUGCACAGCAGGAGGAGUCAUGGACCCCAAGAUCUUCCAGCCCAGCUGCCACAAUCCCCUUCCCAGACCCUCUGUCAGGAGUGCUGGUCGCCUCAAUUCUGUGACUGACAGGUAGGAAGGGCCCUAUGCUGAAGAUUGCAGCCAGCCUGGCCCCCAAAGCAUCUCAGCAUUCUGUGACAAAGAGGAUACUAACUGGUGGGGAAAGUGUCUUUCUCUCUGCUGCCUGAAGAAGAG
rnacentral:lncRNA from 1 species